rnacentral:rRNA from 1 species
GUCAUAUGCUUGUCUCAAAGAUUAAGCCAUGCAUGUCUCAGUACAAGCCAAAUUAAGGUGAAACCGCGAAAGGCUCAUUAAAUCAGUUAUGGUUCCUUAGAUCGUACCCACAAUUACUUGGAUAACUGUGGUAAUUCUAGAGCUAAUACAUGCAAACAGAGCUCCGACCGGAAACGGGAGGAGUGCUUUUAUUAGAUCAAGACCAAUCGGUGGCGGGUUCGCUCGUCAUCGUACAACUUGGUGACUCUGAAUAACUUUACGCUGAUCGCACGGUCACCGCACCGGCGACGCAUCUUUCAAAUGUCUGCCUUAUCAACUGUCGAUGGUAGGUUCUGCGCCUACCAUGGUUGUUACGGGUAACGGGGAAUCAGGGUUCGAUUCCGGAGAGGGAGCCUGAGAAACGGCUACCACAUCCAAGGAAGGCAGCAGGCGCGCAAAUUACCCACUCCCGGCACGGGGAGGUAGUGACGAAAAAUAACGAUACGGGACUCAUCCGAGGCCCCGUAAUCGGAAUGAGUACACUCUAAACCCUUUAACGAGGAUCAAUUGGAGGGCAAGUCUGGUGCCAGCAGCCGCGG